rnacentral:rRNA from 1 species
UACAGAGGUCUCAAGCGUUGUUCGGAUUCAUUGGGCGUAAAGGGUGCGUAGGUGGCGCUGUAAGUCGGGUGUGAAAUUUCGGAGCUUAACUCCGAAACUGCAUUCGAUACUGCGGUGCUUGAGGACUGGAGAGGAGACUGGAAUUCCUGGUGUAGCGGUGAAAUGCGCAGAUAUCAGGAGGAACACCGGUGGCGAAGGCGGGUCUCUGGGCCGAAACUGACGCUGAGGAGCGAAAGCGUGGGGAGCGAACAGG